GAUGAACGCUGGCGGCGUGCCUAAUACAUGCAAGUCGAGCGAACAGACGAGGAGCUUGCUCCUCUGACGUUAGCGGCGGACGGGUGAGUAACACGUGGAUAACCUACCUAUAAGACUGGGAUAACUUCGGGAAACCGGAGCUAAUACCGGAUAACAUGUUGAACCGCAUGGUUCAACAGUGAAAGACGGUCUUGCUGUCACUUAUAGAUGGAUCCGCGCCGCAUUAGCUAGUUGGUAAGGUAACGGCUUACCAAGGCAACGAUGCGUAGCCGACCUGAGAGGGUGAUCGGCCACACUGGAACUGAGACACGGUCCAGACUCCUACGGGAGGCAGCAGUAGGGAAUCUUCCGCAAUGGGCGAAAGCCUGACGGAGCAACGCCGCGUGAGUGAGGAAGGUCUUCGGAUCGUAAAACUCUGUUAUUAGGGAAGAACAAAUGUGUAAGUAACUAUGCACGUCUUGACGGUACCUAAUCAGAAAGCCACGGCUAACUACGUG
rnacentral:rRNA from 1 species